AAAUGUAACAAAAGAAUGUGUGUAUAUUGUAAGCACUCACCCAGCGGAUGAUGAUGCUGCUGCUGGGGCUGCUGCUGCUGUGGCUGUGGAUCUGUCCUGGUCGCCGCAUCAUUUGUGACUGUUCAGAACGAUUUAUGCUAAUAACCGCCUCUGUCAAGGUGACUGGAUGGAUGAGCAACGCCACAACAGCCAGCCCAGGCAGCGACUUGACUCAGAAAUUCGUGGCAUGGCGGCGGCUCGGCUCUCUGAAGUUAUUUUCUCACGCACGGCUCGCAAUAUGCAGCCCUGACAACUUAAGUGUUUUUGGGCCUGGCUGUGGAAUCGGGGAAAACUACGGAGUCGCCAAGUGCCCGGACAACGGAGGCAAACAAGGACAAGUGCUGGAAAACGUUUCAUCGCAACGCAGACACUGGGCAAGUGCUUCAAAACUCGGUGCCGCAGUCCCAUCGAAGACGGAAAGCCGACUGCUAUGACACAUCUAUUUAAAUUUAAAAUUUAGAAUCUGGUUUUUUCUUGGGGAACUUUGUAUUUACUUAUCCAUUUUACCCAUUUUCCUGUAAACACAU